GCCCGAGAGCUGCCAAUCUGGAGAGACGCACGUAUUUAUCCAAUAGCGAUAGGGAGAAGCCUUCUAGCCUCCAGGUAAUGAUGGGUUAAAUACCACCUGAAAAAAUAGCGGACUUAUACCAGAUACUUUACUGCCGCUGCUAUCGCAAACUAUAAUUAAAGAUACAAUACAGCCGGCGGUGAGAACAUUUUGUCCCUUAUGGUAAAUUUGAUCGUCCCCUUUAGUUUUGGGAACGCUGAUAGAGCCAGUGGGUUAAGUCGAUGGAAGUUCCAUAGUCAGUUCAUGUUUGUCCGUGACUGACGGUCAGUUAGAUGACAGUAGACGCGCGUGAAUUAGUCAUCAGGGCGGGGCAACAACACGGCAGACAAACAACAAAUUGUCGCCAAGUGAGUGUAUUUUUCCUUGAGGGGCGCUUCUGUUACGCAUCGGCAUAAGGACAAAUUGACAGUUGCUUUUAUUUUCCCCCCGUACCUCACAUUUUACCAUGUGCGAUUCAACCGAGGAGAUUCUUCGUGAUCGAGUGACAAAUAAAACGACUGAAAGUUUUCCAUUUCGUUUCGGAAUUCUGAAAUAUGGAAUUGUGUCUGGACUUUCUUGCUGAACAUAUUCCAACUUUUUAUUUGACACGCUGGGAAGAAAAAGAAAAGCAACAUAAAAAGGGAACGGGAAAACAAAACACAGCAUGCGCGGCGGGAAAAAAAAAAAGUGAUAAUUUGUAACAUCUUAACUUUAUAAAGCAAAUCUGCGUAAGAUUAUAAGAAGAAGGAAUCACAGUCAAUACUCUGCACAGAAGAUGCCUAAGAGCUGAAGUCUGUGCGCCGCGAGACCAGCCGCCUAUGGCAGCGAGAAGCGCAGAGCGCACCUACAAGAGGAGACCCCCCGCAGGUCCCUGACGCGCAUGACUCUCGGCCCUACAUCCUCGGAGGACGAUGCCUUCCCUACACCAUGGGGCCAUCUUCAUCGGCGUGUUCCUCAUAGUGACCGGAGGGACCACCGCCUUCCUGGCCUCCAGUCAGGGCCGGCUGCAAGCCUUCAGCCUCUGCUGCGUGGUCCUGGGCGCCGUGCUGCUCAUCCUGGGCCUUUUCUGGGCCAUGAAUGGCAAGAGCACCCGCAGCUCGUACGGCAGCGAUUACAGCCACGUCCUCUUCACCCCUCCGGCCGGCAGCCACUUGCCCGAGUCCCAGUCAGUGCUGCUGCAGAGGACAUUGGAGAGGCAAAGGUGUGGAGUUUAUGGAGAAGACUUUGAUUACCCUCCCAUGGAGCCCUACUGUUUUAGCCCUCCAGGUCAUCCACCCCACUGGGACCUGGAGGCCCCUCCUCCCUAUGAAAUAGCCAUUCGAACCACCAGGAGCUCCACACAACUGCGGCGCAGCUACUCAGACACACUCCUCCCCACAGAGCCUCUCUUUUCCCGCUCUCGGGAGAUUAGUUUUGAAGUAUGACGUUCUACCUGCCUUUGCCGUGCUUCCAGAUGCUCAGUGGGACCCUCCCUAGAUUGGAAUGAUGGCGCCUACCCUUCUUGGAAACACCACACUAUCACAAUGACCAUCCUUGGACGAAAAUGAGUAACUUUGUAUUUAAAAACCUGUCUUAUGAGUUCUUAAAGACUAAAUGAAACUGGAAUCUAACAUACUUAAAGCACAGAAAUGUUUAAGAGAAAUUAUGCUUUUAUUGUUCAUGAACAGAUGUUAUGACUAAUUCAGUACCAUUGUGUCUGAAUAUAAGGAGCACAUUUUUUUAAGUCUACCACUUAUUUCCAAGACCGUAAACAAUUAUUCAAAAAAUAUGUUCACAGUAUACUGAGCAAGCUCCCUUUGUCAAGUAUACUGUUCCUACAAAGUGAUGAAUUUGUGUAAAAAAGAAAGAAAGCAUAUAAUGCCAUAGCAGUGAGAACAAACUAAAUAUGCAUGACUUCACACAGGGAAUUUAAAAAGUGCAAUUAGAAAGUAAGUUUACCACCAGUUGCCUUUUAAAAUAAAAACCCACAGUUGACUCA
ensembl:lncRNA